rnacentral:lncRNA from 1 species
AUUCGGUGAUUUUAAUAAUUUGUAAAAAUUAGGACAUAAAAUCAUAUUUAAAAAAGUUUAUUCAAAAAAUCAAAAAAGACAACUCCAACUCCAACUCCAACUCCACUCCAACUCCAAAAAUUUUAAUUUUCAUGGUCAAACAUUGCUAAGUAUCUUGAAAAUUCAAUAUAUUUGGAUCUAAAAACUAAGCCUUUUUUUCAUAGAGUGAAUUUUGAUUACUUCUAAUAUUUGUAUAUGAAAAAUAUUAUUUGUAGGCUUACCAAAAUGAAUUAUUGCCACGCGCAGUGCGGGUUUGUUACCUAGUACCAUAUAACCAGCUUACAUUUGUUAAUUUUCUUAAUUGCUUAGUUUUAAAAUUGGGAAUAGUUGGAGAUAAAAGGAUUUAUUCUAACGAGUACACAUUAUUAUAAAGUAAAAUGAGGAGAAAAAUUAAUUUUAAAGCAUUCCUUACAAAUUUGGGGCUUCAAACAUCACAUUUUUUUAGGUAACAUAUACACACAGAAUUACUAGAAAAAGAGAAGAUAAAAAAAAUGUUAGGAUGCUAAUUAAUGAAGUAUUUCUCCAAAAGGCUAGAGAAUAAAAGGGCUAUUCUUGCACAAAACAUUCCACAUUCAUGUACCGUCCCAAAAAGGUCACACCCAAACAAAAAUGACGAUUAUAGUCUAACCUAAUGUGAAGCAUUAGUGAUCGACUUUCAUCCGAAUUCAUGACCGGUAGACAAUAGGAAGACAGCUUCACUAUGUAUAUCGCUCAAAUAUAUCGUCCUAGUGGUCAUAGAGCCUCCUCUUAUCCAGUAUUCGGUCUUCUAUGUCUGAAAACUCACAAAUACAAUCCAAAUUUUGAACAAUAUUACGUUAGUUAGGCAACCGAAAGCAAAUAUGAUAAUCUCUCUUAGAGAGAUUGAUAUAUAGAGAAAAAAAACUAUUAAUUAGAACAUUACGAGUAAAUAUUCAUAAACAGGAGAUUUAUAAUCUUGAUUCUUGAAAAUAAAGCAUUUCACCAGUAUAAAUCAAAACAAAAAAGCGCAAACCCUAGAAAUGAAUUUAAAUCUUAUGCACUGACUUUAUAAAAAAAUAUAUUUAUUUAAUUUACACAAUUAUUUUACUUGAAUAUAAGAUAUAACUACGGGUAAAGCCGAAAAUAAACAUCACUACUAAUUGGUGAUUCGACUAAUAUGGUAACUGAAACUUAAACUAUACUCAACUCAUGAAUACCCCUAAAUGUAGUCAUCUUUUUUCUUGAUAUUAUAGAAAGCCAUGUUAAACUAAUCAAAUAAAUGAAACUGAAAUGAACAACAACAAACAUAGCUAGUCUAGUUCUACGAAGUGAGAUAUGAAGAUGAUAAAAUAUACACAAUCUGUACCACUACCGCAAAUAAAGUGGAGAAACUGUUUCUGAUAGAAAACAGACUCAAAACAAAAAAAUUAUAUAAAAGGACCUAAUAAAAAACAAUAAACAUAAAAAAAAUAACACACCAAUAGAUAUUAACAGAAACAAAACACUCACAUAAUAUAGUAAUUAAACUAUCUAUCUAACAUCACAAAAAUCAUCAGAACACCACAAACAAAAUAAAACUAAAAUGAAGUGCAGAAAAACUGAUGAAAGCAAGUAAUUAUGAGGAGGGAGCUCCCUUCAGUCCAAGCAGAAGAAGCUUAAGAUUCAGUCAGUCUACUGCUUCAUUCGCUCAGCUGCCAAGGCCUUCUUUCUUUGACUCUCAAAACCUUAGCAUUUGUGUGAAUGAGUCAGAAGCUAAUUGAACCAUACUGCCUCCUAUAUGUGGACUAAAGAAAGCUCUCUACAUGCAAAAAAUUAAUUAACCCCACAUAAGAACAUACAUUCUAAGAAUUUCUUGGAAGAAAAUUUUUCCAUGAUGCAUUGAAAUUGAUAUUGAGAAUCUUUCAGUUUGGGAGGUAAUGGGGAAGGAACACUGGGAAAUUGGUAAUAGAAGAAUGGCUUUAUAUAGGCUAAGAGAAAGGGAGUGA